UUUUCAAGAUGGACAAGAGAACUGAAAACUAUUGGUGUGAGUGGAUCCAUUCUUAACUGGAAAUGUUAACAAAUUCUUAAAAAUGUUAAGACAUUUUUGAUCUUUGGGAUGUGUAACUGCAAAACACAAUUUGGAAUAUCCAUGUAAAAGAAGAGGUCUUAUUGGUUGGGAAGUAGGAAUAUUGUUCUUUAAAUGAAUUCCGUAGAAAGAAACCCAGUUAAGAAUGGAUCCACUCACACCGGUGGUUUUCAGUUCUCUUGUCCAUCUUGAAAAUCUUUUUUCUGCCAAGCUCAUCUGGUUUCCAUCCUAAGCAGGAAUUACUUGCUCAUCUCUAUUUCAGUGCCAUGAACACGCACUUCCUACAUUUGGAAUGUCUUCUGUUUCUAUCCACUGCUUCUGUCAGCAGUUGGCUAAAAACUCAGAUUCUGUAGGAAGCUUAUCUGACCAACUCCACUGUCUUAGGAUCCUUUUUCUAUUCUACUUGCCUCAAGUUCAGUGUUGCCAGAUUUAGCAAGCAAUAAUACAGGAUGCCCAGUUAAUUUGAAUUUCAGAUAAAUAACAAAUACCCUGUUCUCUUCUUUUUAGCAUGAGACAUGCUUAUACUAAAAAUUAUUUGUUGUUUAUGAAAUUCAAAUAUUACUGGGGGUCUUGUAUUUUAUCUGGUGACUCAAGUUUAAAGAUCUUGGGAAAAAAAGUAACCUCCCAACCUUGUUACACUUUAUUAUGUUGCUUUCACAUUUUUCCAUGAGUUAUUUUAUGUGUAUAUUUUGCUUUCUAAGUAGAUUAUAAACUCCUCGAAAGUGGAAACUGUCUUUUGUUUUUGUAGCCUCCUCCUCCCCAUCGUGCUCCCCACACAAUGCUGAUCAUCAGUUUUGAGCUCAUGUUUGAUGAUGAAUGAAUACUUCCAGGGAGCUUUGUUUUGGGUUAAAGAGAAAACAACCUGCAUCCUUGAGAGAAAUCUUUGACUGAAACAUAAAAUACUGUAAAGCUGAGUAAGAAUUAUUUUUAGAGCCAAUCUAAAUUUCUAAGGCUGAUUAGAGUACAGUCAGAAGUUAUUACCGUAUUUUCUUCUCACAAAAUUACCCCAUUAUCUCAUCUGUGAUACACAUUUUUAUUACAUUUUGUAGCUGCUUCUUGCUUCACUUAAAAAAAAAAUUGUAGCAGCAGUUGCUUUCCAUGGCUUUAAUCACUAAGCCACCGCAAACGACUGCCUUAUACCAGAUUCACUAUCUGCCACGUCAUAAUCUGUGUUGGUAAAACUCGGGCCCUUUUGAAUCAGCAGAGGGAGCCAACUUCAGUUUUGAUUUCUCUCUGCGGUUUAAGAAUUAGCUGACUUCUAAAAGUUCAAAUGUAGAGGCGACUAUUUGAAGGCCAUUUAUUUGUUCUUAGGAUUGACAAUGUGGGCCUAGAGUGAGCGGCCAGAUGGGUGUCCUCAACUGCAUUUUACAGAAGACACAGCUGAAACCCAAUCACCUGCCCAAGGUCAAACUCUGAGAAGGUGGUGAGUCCCCGAAUCCUCGUGGGAUGUGCUGCCACCAGCAUGAGCUGCUUUAUGAAAUCGACGCACCGACACUCAGAUUCUGAGGUUCCAACUCAAAUGAGAUGGGCUCACAAAGCACAAGAUGGCCUCCCAUAUGAGAUCAGAUGUCGCCCUCAUUGAGGGAAAGGAAUGUGCUUACAACGCAGCAGACCCUCAAUGUCGUUGAACGUGUGAAUACUGCUGGAUUUUUCCGACACUGGUAUCUGCCCCUUAGACUUUUCCCUGUAGGCUCGGCUGCCUGAAUGGACCUUUAUCUGCAGGCCACCAACUAGACUUGACGUUCUUCUAGACUUACUUCAUUCCACUUGAAUUUCCACCCCCGUAAUUGGCUUUCCUGGAAGAGCAACUCACUUUUCACUUCUGUACUCUACCUAGAUUAACAUCUAAGGCUUUACCUGGACCAUGACUUAAGGCUGCAUGCACACAGGAAACCAAGAAAAACUGAAGAACUGGAUGGAAAAGACAGAAUCCAUUGACCAGAGAUAGGGAGAAGUUCGCCGGGUGGAGCAAGAGAAGGGGAAGCAGAUAGCAAGCAAGACGGUAGGAGCAAGCAUAUCAGCCACAAAACACAAUGAAAUGAGAGCUAGUUUAUCCAGUUGUGAUUCCACUACGGUCCAUCACCGCCAGAGCUGAGUAGGACUCUGAAAUGAGGACUCAUGGAAACAGUACAGAUUGGAUCGAAAGCAGCAAAAAACCCGAUGAUGGUGUUUCAGGCAAGGAAAGUGGAUAAGCAACUGAGGGAAUGUAAAAGUUGCUAAAGGCAGCAUUUCGAGACAACGGAGAUGCUCACACCUUGGACCUGUGUGUCUAGGUUCAGGGACAGAAGUUUAUCGAAUGUGUCUUUAGCUCAGCAACAUAGAACAAGGGCUGAUUUCUACCGUUUACCCCUCACUGGACUUCACUUGAACUUACAGCGCUCCCCAGUGAUGCUACAGAUAUUAAACUGAUGGUUCCUGCUUCCUUCCUCUGAUUUCUUUUAUCUCCACACAAUACUUAGUUUUUAUGGGGAUUGGCCAUCUUAGUGGCUUAUGAAAUGAGAGAUGGCUUUGGCCAGAAGGUAUAAACAAGGCUUACUGUUUGAAGCUUCGCUAUUUGUAUUUGAGUUAUUUUCCUGGUCACAGACACAGACUUGCAGUGAUUCGUCAUUCAUUCAUUGCCCUGAGCCCCCAGCCCCUCGAAGGAAUGUAAUCCAAAUUUCCUCAAGCUGCUGACUUUCCACAGAUAGGGGGACUCAAGUGCCCCUGCUCAGGCCACUAGCUGUGUAAUGAAUGACUUCCGUUUUUGCUCAGACUUCCACCAAGCUAUUGCUAGGAGCCUCUGGGGCUGCCAUAUGAGAUCAUGAGCGCUGUUUCCACUUUGGACUGUCUUGUCAGCACCUGGGAUUUGAGGGCAGACCUCAUUGCUUCCAUUAUACAGCGUCCGAUGCACCCCAGAUCGUAAACCCUGUGGCGCCUGUGGCCCCUGGCCCAUCUGCAUUUCUUUCUGCACCUAAACCUAAACCACCCACGAUCUACACAGAGGUGAAGCUAUGCGUGAUGUGAUGGCACAGGCCCUUCUCCCCCGCAGGGGUCUCUGAGCCUCCCGGGGUCCCUCCUGCAUACGGCAUCUUGACUCUUAUCUGUAGCCUUCUCCCGAUGCCUCAGAUAUGAGCCCACAGGGUUGGCUGUGGUCAGUAUCAGACGUGGACUCUCCAGCAGUCUAUACGACAUGCCCAGACCACCGUGAAUCCCGUGAGUGGGUGCAAAUUAGUGCGAAAUUUGGACCCCAGCCUCUCAUGUAAUUUUCAGAUGAUUUUCAGACAGAUCCAGCUCAAGGCUUAAAGUGAAGUGAUGUUUACAUUCAGUGGAAUGCACUGCUUUUGGCUCUCUAUCCUGGCUACCAGAAGGGCUGUCCCUGACCCAAAGCGUCUGUGCCUCUGGGAGCUUGUUAGAAAUGCCCAGUCUCAGGCUCCAGCCCAGACCUACUAAAUGCAAACUUGCCUUUUAACCAGAUCCCCAGGUGAUUUACAUGCACACUGAAGUCUGAGAAGCACUGCUGUAUAUCAUAACUGACAGAUCAGACCGUACUUAGGAAAUGGUGCUAAAGUGAUUUUCCAGAUCUGGGGAGCCCCUCAGCAUAGAACAUUGCAAGUAAAUCCAGUGAUUGCUUGCUAUUAAAUACCUAUAGAGCAUUUUUUCUGUCUUUACGUACUCUUUCAUUUGAAUUCAGAUUUUAUUUUGGGAUUUUUGAUAUUCAUGUUAGUCAAUAAUGGAGGUUGAUAUUGUGUAUUAACUUGAAUUCUCCCUCCCUUCCAUUCUUCUUGGGUUAAGAACUCUGAUAAUAGAAGGGAACUAUAGACCUGACAUUCAAGGAAAAUCCAGAAAAUGAAUUCUUUUUUAUCUUCAGGCAGAGCAGCUCCAAUGAAUAGAGAAGUGUAAUAAAGCCUUUUUAUAUGCCUGUCAUAGAAAGACAAACCUUUUCCAAAGGAAAUGGAUUUGAGUAUUUGCGAGGUAUGAUAAACAGCCUGACAAAAACGAGCCUGAAUUUCCCUUUUAAAUGUUCAGCAGGGGGAGGUUUUAACUUCUCCUGUCAGGUAAAAAAAGAAUUCAUUAUGAAAGCCAUUCUAGCUGAAACUCAAAAAUGAAAACGAGGCCCGAUCAGAGUGGAAAGCAAUGAUUUAGAAAUGUGUUAAAGGGAGUAGUUUAAUGAAUAAAGUGUCAACUUUCCAUAGGAGCAAAAAUAAAUCACGCAAAGGCUUAACCAGUUUUGUCGCUGUGAAUUAGCUGGGCGUAGUUGGGACCAGCACACCCUGUAAGGAAACAUUAAAAUCUAAUUCUCGCUGAGAUUUGUGUACGUGCAUUGUUGAUAAUGAUGUUAAUAAUGGCAUUGUAUGCAUUUUACGACUUCUCUUUCCAGCAAUUGCCAAAAGCCGGGGGAAAAUGAGGCGCAGUUGAACGAAAAUGGCCCCAAUUCUCAGUUUUUCCAUUCAGCGGAAAGCCUUGAGGCCUUGAAUCCACCCGUCCAGGAAUGACCUGAUGUCCCGCUGCAGAAUAGUCUAGACGCUCGGUGUUGCUGUCCUUGGUCUUGGUUCCUAGGUAUCUUCCUUUCCUAGGGCUGCCCUAUCAGAGUACCGCAGACCAGGUGCCUUUAGCAGAACUUCAUCGUCUCACGGUUCCGGAAGCCGGAAGUCCGCGUCAAAGUGUGGGCAGGGUGGUUUCCUGUGGGGGUCUGGGUGGGAGAACAGGUGCCAGCUUCUGGUGGUUUGCUGCCAAUCCUUGGCUUUAGAUGGACCUCCUUUAUCUCUGUUUUCAUCUUCACGUGAUGUUCUCCCUGUGUACAGGUCUGUAUCCAAAUUCCCACUCCCCCCACUUUUUAAAGUUUAUUUAUUUACUUGAGAGAGAGAAAGAGAGGGGGAGAGAGAGAGAGCAUGAGCUUGGAAGGGACAGAGAGAGGGGGAGAGAGAAUCCCAAGCAGGCUCAGUGCAGCUCCAUUCCACAAAUGGUGAGGUCAUGACCUGAGCCAAAAUCAAGAGUCAGACGCUUAACCGACUGAGCCACCCAGGUGCCCCCUAAAUUCCCCCUUUGUUAGUCAUACUAAAUUAGGGCCAAUGAUCUUCUCUUAACGAAUUACAUUUUCAGAGAUUCUGUUUCUAAAUAAGGUCACAUUCUGAGUUACUGGGGAUUAAAACUCCAGUGUAUCUUUUUCUGAGACACACAAUUCAUGCAACUCACCAGGUGGGACUGCUUUGUAACAAGGUUGUUUGAUUUGUUAAUAACUAAACUCGCAAGUUUGUAGCACAAUCCCUGGGCGAGUGAUCAGAGUGCAGCAAAUCACCAUGGAAUAAAUAAAGUAAUUCCUAACCUAGGCAUACAUACUUAUGAAGCACCGUUAGGUAUCUUUGAGGCAUGGGUUGUGUAAUACUUAUUUUAUUAGUAAGGAAAUGGAUGCAAUAAGAGGUUAACAGAGUAUGCUUCUCACAUUCUAUAGUUAUCUGGUUUAUUUUCUUAGUAUUUGUCGAACGAAAAAUGAGGGCAAGGAUCUUGGGUAGUUGCUUAAUACAAUGUUGACCAACUGAGCUUGGUACUUGUGAGAUGGUCAGAUUCACGUAAUUAGUGCUGGCUCUUAAGUACAGUGUGAAGCAACAGCACAGAGUGAAAGUACAAAUUUGUGAGAACGAGAAGACUGGAGCUUUAAUGGAGAACUCAUCGGAUCUAAGGUAUCAUGAGAAAUCGUUCAACUUAAUGCUCACACACAUUGGUGGGUCUCCUCAGCAGACAGCGAGGGAAGGCAAUCAUCAUAUGCAAGUACUCCUUGCAUGCCAAGGACAGAGGAGCAAAUGUGCACGUGUAAAGCAAUGCUUACAUUUCCUUCCUCCUUCUCCUUUUCCUCUUUGAUGUGUUGAGUCCCCACUGGUACUCACUGACAUGCUGUUGCUUGAGAUUUGCUCUUUACUAAGUAAGGAAAACCAAAUGAUUGCAUUUUAGCUCGUUUUCUUUUUUUCCUGCUGUUCAUCGAAUGGCAACCUUACAAUAACAGGUAAGGGAAGCAGGAACAGAAAGGAAGGGGAAAAAGCAGAGCCCUGCAUAAUUUGUGCAUGGAGGUUCUUUUACAAAAUCGUUUAGAAAUGACUAGAGAUUUAUAUAAAGUUUUCUCUUGUAAGACGGUAAUUUUCUUGGGGUAAAUUCAUUUUUCCAUCUUCACCAUUGGAUGGAAGUAUUGCAGAGUGGGAAGGGGCCUUACAAUUUGUCAAGUUCAAUUCUCAUUUUAUAGGAGGACAUUGAAGCCCAGAGAUGAUAAGGUACUUGUCCAGGGUCACAGAAAUUAGUUUUUACCAGAGCCUGUACUGGCUACUAUGCUUUCUUCGUGCCCAAGUCUAUUUUUUUUUUUUUUUUUUUUAGUAUACUAUAUAUUCCCUCUCAGAACUGAGAGGGUUUUUUUUCCUCCCCUCCCUCCCACCUCUUUCCUUUUCUUCUUUCUUUUCCCUUCCUUUGCUUUUAGAUGCUGCUGACAGCUGUGUUCCCUGUGGGAGAAAUUGCUUACCUGGAUGCCUCACUCUGCACACUGGAGUCUCCACUGUGUGAGUCUGGUGGGCACAUCCUGGUGAGGUAUCAGUUGCUAGGAGUCCCUGGAGGGGCAUUUUGCUGUACCAGACUAGGUAAGGGUCAUGCACGGGAUAGGUAGGCAAUGACUGUGGGGUCAGAUCACAUGUAGAUUUCUCUAGGGGUAACCUACACUCUAUCCUAUGAAACAGUCAUGAAUACCACCCAGUGGCAUUGUGAGAUUCAUUUCCACUCCCUCCUGGGGAAACCCUUAGCAAGUGUGAGCAGGAACCGCCCUGUCUUUCCUUACACAUUCUGCCCUUUCUCAGCUGGCCUGUGCUGUUCUGGUCUUAAACCACUCCAUGGGACUGCUUGAUCGCUUCUAUUUGGCCCUUGUUAGGGAACUCUGUUCCCUUCUGCCCUUGCUCCAAGUUCAUUUGCAGCCUGGGUCUACCUUAAUGGUAUUUAAAGGAGGCAGAUGUCCCUCAGAAUGCUCAGCAAAAACAUCGUCUUCCUGUUGACCACGCCUGCAGAGAGUCUCUCUUUCCCAGGCUCUGGGACCUGUCCUCAUCUCUGUUCUGAGCAGCUGGGCUCUGCUCCACUGCCUCUGAGUCCUACUACUGUGUUUUCUGCUACACUGUGACAUGGGGAAAGGGCUUUCCCCUUGGCUUGAUUUGGUAAAAGGAAUAACUUCUGCACUGGAGCCAAGCGGAAGAUGAAUUUUCCUUGGCUUUAACCACAGAGACCAUUAUCUUUCUCAGCUGUGGGGCUCCACCAAGCUUUUUUCUUGGCUGCUAAAUUUCUCCAUUUUACUUUUCACAUUUUCGUAUCUUCACUCUCAGUGUGGGCUAGGCAGGUGGACUAGAGGCACCUACUAUCCCCCCGAAACAAUGCUGGUGGCUUGGUGGGGAGAGGAAAUGGUCAUAAAUAGCCCUACACUAUGAUCUGGAGGGGAGAAUGCCCCCAGCGUUUGUGUCUUCUGAAUAUUGCCUUCAGAAAUGGUGACUUGAGCAGUGAGGUUCUGCUUUUGGAAAACCCCAAAAGCAAAGCCAAAACCCCAAACAGAACUCUGGUCCCAAGAGGGAGGCAGUGAGUCCAGGAUGGAGAAGAAGAUGACAGGGGGUGGAGCUUGUAUUCCCAGGUGAGCAGUGGCACCAAAUGUAGCUGGAGGGCUGCAUACAUCGACCUUUGAACUGUCAUGGUUCUACUGUUGUCUCUUUCCUUCGAACCCUCAGCUCGUUUGUCUUUUUCUCCUACUUCUACGCGACUCCUCUUCUAUCCCCACCACCCUACUGAGACAGUCAAGCCAGCCACCAACAAUGUGUCCCCUCCCCUCCCGGAUGUGGGAAUGUUGCAGGGAGGAGGCAAGCUGGGCAGGCCUUGCAUUUCCCAGCCCUCCUUGCCUACACAUGUGGCUGUGCAGCAAGUUUGCAGGGAUGGAACAUGGGCAGAGGAAUGUCUGUCACGUCAGGCUGCACUUUGGAGAGAGAGUGUGCCUUCACCACCACCUCGUUCCCCUUCCACCAGCUCACCAUGGAGGAUUCCGGAGCCCUGAAAACACGGUGAAGUGUUUUCAACCUUGUCGUUCAUUGGAACCAUCUGGAAAGCUUUAAAAACUCUCGCUGCCCAACCCCCUACCCCAGAGAUGCUAAUUAAAUUGGUCUGGGGUGUGGCGGGAGCAGCAGGAGUUUUAAAAGGUGUUCUAGAGGCUAACCAAGGCAGAGAACUGGUGCUCUGGAGGGGUGUGGAGCCCCAAGAAGGAAAUUGUCAUGGAGAAGAAAGCUACCCACUCGCCAGGAACACCCACGUUGGAAUGUUACUUAAAAGAGAAAGAAACCUUUAUUCUGUUAAGUCCUUGGGAAUUUGAGGUUUAUUUCUUAGAUCAGCUCAGUUGUCCCAAUUAAUGCAUCUUUUUUAACGAACACAGAGAAUGCCUCCUCAGCAUGCCAAGAUUUUCUCCCGACAUCUUUCGGUUGCUGGGUUCUAUUGGAUUCAACUGUCCCAUAAGUGGGCGACAGGGGUGCUGGUGGGGUGCAGAGCCACCCCACUGCUCCGGCAUUUGAGGUGCUACUCCUGCAACUGUGAGAACUUUCAAUCAGGUACAGUGUCCCUGUCAGAGAUAAGCCCACACAGAGAUAAUCAUUGUUUUAUUUGAAAGAUGGUGAUUUCCUCAGGUUUGCAUUUAUCCUGUGAUUCUAUUAGUCUGUGUGAUUCUGCUUACUGAUAUUCCGUGCUCAGGAUGUUGUCUUCUACUCUGUGGUUGGUGAUAGGAUACCAUAUUUAAUUUUUCCAAGUUUUCUGAUACCACUCAGUGAGAAAAAUAAUGGUUAGUGUUCAAUUGCGGAAGGUUUCUCAAGUAAUUGUCUCAAAACCGCAGGGCAUGUAUUUGAUUUCUUUGAUUGAUCUGUUUUGUGUAUAUAUUUUUCCAACAUCUUGAAUAAUUUAGGAGCAAUCUUGGUUUGUGGCUAAUUUGGUGUCCAGCAAUUAUGCAUCCUUCUGAAGCUGCCAUUCGCUCAAGUGUCUGAAAGCAGGAGAGAAGAGCCUUAUAACAAGACUCAUUGUUACGUGAACUUGGGCAUAGCAUGUGGCCACUCAGGUUCCUGGAAACCUGGUGCUUAUCUUCAGGUCAAGGUGUGUUCUAAAAGCAUAAGCACUGUUCCAGGGAACACACAGGGACUUUUGAAAUAACCAAUGAAAAGGAAGAGAAGGGAACCCCAUAAUCUCAGGAUGAGAACCCCAGUUCCUUGCUAUGGUUGGCCCUGAGUAUCUGGUCCUCUCUCACUUCUCCUGCCUCACGUCUCACCUACAUCCCUUCCCAUGAGAAUCCUGGAAGUCUUUCUGGAUAAGUUGUGCUCAUUCUAGCUUUUCUGCCGAUCCAUGGGCUGGUCCAUGAGAAAGCACUUGGGGAAUGUGCCAUCCAGCUGACCAGAAACCACAAGUCUCUAUGAUGUUGGACCCAUUCUGGUUGCAAGGAAGAGACGUGCUCAGAAUGUUCUGGGAUUUAUUUCAAGGACGCUCAGGGAAUGGAGAAAAGCAGAAAACUGUCUUAAUCCCUGCACUGCUGGACUCACAAAAACCGGGCAUGAUAUUUGGGAUGUAGAUCGUGGUUCGGGAUAUAACAUGGUUUAUCUCAUUGUUGCCUACCUUGGCUGGUGUUUCUUGUUACGGCCUUUCAUCUAUUUCUGCCUAAGCUUUCGCUGUCUGGUGUUGCUGACUCACUCUGCUCUCUACCUCGUAGGUUUGGUUUAUUCAUGGCUGCUCUGUAUUGCUUUUUUCAAAGUGAGUUUUUCUGUUUCCUCUGCCUCUGUUUUCCUCUCUGUGUGUUUGGCAUUUGGACUUGCUAAGAGAAGGACUGCAGGCAGUCAGCAUCCUGGAUGGGAUGGCGCCACCGAGCUUUGGUUCUGGGCCCUGCCCUGGGGCAUUGGUCAAUGAAGAGGUAAUCGCCUUUAGGACAGAUGCUAAGCCUUGGUCCAAUCAGCUGUAGCCAAGGUGGCAAGGUUACUUGGCAGAAAAUAUAUCACCCUAGGAUAAGAAGCAUCAAACAGGGGUGGGUCAGCAUGGUAAGUGAGAAAAAUUUCUGAGAAGCAUUUCUUCUCAGAAAUGCUUAUGCGGGCUGCUUGGUACUUGGAAAUAAUAUAAGACAGCAAAUAAGUGUUGUAUUAGUGAAACAUGCAAUCAGUGUGCUAGACCCAGGCGAGAAGGGGCUGAGAUCAUUAUGGUCUGGGGUGGGCACGCCUCUGCUUACAAUCUUGAGAAUAAACUUCUCAGGAUGGCAUAAGGUCUUUAUGAUAUCAAGCUUCUGCUUACCUUUCCAGCUGCAUUUCCAGCUCACAGGAUCUCCCUGCGGUCACUGGAUGAUUGUACCAUAUUUAUUCAGAUGCCGCAAGGAAGAACUGCUAUACUUCUUUAACCUUGAGAUGAAGCAUUGUCUUUGCCAAAACCUUGACAUAUCCCCAAUACCUAAUACCUUUCCCGUAGCCCUCUGGACCUGCCUCUUCUGGCGGUCAGAGCUCCCGAUUGUGAAUCCUGGCUGACAUAUCCACCUUGCUCACUGGACUGUGAGGAAAGGUGCUGACUGUGAUUUAUUCAUUUCUGUAUCCCAGCAACAAACCCAGGGCUUGGUACCUAUUAAUACUGUCAGGGCUCCUGUUUAUUGAGUUAUUACUCUGUUCCAUGUACUGUUCCAAGUGUUUUAUAUGUAUUAACUAAUUUAAUUCUCUCAAUCAUCUUCUAAAUAGGAGCCAUUAAGAUCCUCAUUCUAUGUUUUGGGAAGCUGAAGCACAGACCAGUUGAGAAACUUGCCCAAGGUCACAUAAGCUAAUAAUUGGUGGAGUCAGGAUUCAAGUCAGGUAACUUGUUCCAGUCUGUGCUUUGUCCACUGAGCUAUACUGCCUCUUGGCAAUGAAUCUUCUAGAGGAAGUAGUAGGUAUCCAAUUAGUGUUGAGGAAAUAAAGGAAUCAAUGCAGGUAUUUUAAGGGAGAGGAAAAGGCAGGGGCAGGCACUGUAGGAGAGGGAAAUCAGCCAUGCCAAAACAUAUCCACAGAACAGCCAAGUAUCAGCCGUGGGGGACAAGGCUGGAUAUGUUGGUUGGACCAGAUGGUGGACACAGUCAAAUGACAAUGGGUCGGGCUUUUGAGGAGGGGAGUGAUGUGAUUCAAAGCAAGUUUUAAGAUUAAUCUGGCUUCAGAGUACAGGAUGAUUUGAAAUGGGAGGAGAAUAGGCACAGAGGGUCCAAGUAGGAAGCCACUGAAAUAGUCUUGGGAAGCUGUGUAAUGAGAAGAUCAGAGGACCUGGAGUCGGACAAAUGUGGGGUUUGAGUCUUGAGUCUGUUGCUUGCUAGCUGCGUGACCUCUCCCAAUCUUUGAGCCCCUAAUCCUUCAUAUAUAUGACAGGCAUUAUUACUCACCUCACAGUUUGUUAUAAGGAUUCAAUGCAAAUGCAUGUUUGCCAAGGGCUUAGCACAGAACCUGAUCCUGUUCUUCUUUUGUUUUGGGUCAGGUGAUUAGGGCUUGUGCCCCUGAUAUAGCACUGGCAAGGGAAAGAACAGGAAAAUGAGACUCAGUAGAAUUUGCUGAUUGACAGGUGCUGGGAAGUCGGGGCAAGAAAGGGUCAGUGAAUGGUCAGUGUGGGUAGUAAUGUCAAGAAGCCUAGGUUCCGGGUCUCGUUUUGUCACUAACUACUUUGGACAUAUCACUCAUCCACGUGGCUAGAUCUCCGUUCCUUCCCUGGAAUGUAAAAAUGUUGGACAAUUGCUCAUUUUUCUUCCAGCUCUGAAUGCUACAGCACUUUAGCCAGGAGGUUUGGAUUCUGGACAACGGGGAGAAUAUAAACGAUGGCCAAGCUUUGCCUUCCCCUUCAAAAAGAUUUUCCCGCCCCCUCUAGUUUUAUAAUCCCACCCUUUCUUCUCCCUCUGAAAUGGCAAUAUCUUUGUACUCUUUUGUUUUGGGCAAACAAUCCCAAAAUCUAGGCCACUGAUGGAGGGUUUUACGACCAGAACAGAAGGUGCAUCAGAGAUGACUUUUUUGCUGGAGUCCGCUGGUUGCCCUAUCUGACCUGAGCCUCCCCAUUUCUCUGAGAGGCAGAAGCAGGUGGCUUCUCAAACAAUUUAGUGUUUUUUCCACUCCCUGCAGGCACAGCCCGUGUUCUCCUUGGUCAGUCGUCACAGCUGGUUUGUGGUGAUGCUCCUCAGAUGUCUUCCUCCCUGGGCUCUCCAGCUGGGCGUCCUCAGAGAGAAAGACGGCAGAGCCCGUACCUGGCAAGAUGCACGUGCAGUCCCCUGCUAAUAAGUGUUUUUAUAUUGUGAAUACUGCUUUGCCUGGAUUCUAUUGUGCUGUGGGUAAAAGGAAAUGUCUGAGCAGUUGCUGAAGCCUCCAGUGGUUGGGUUUCCAUGGCAGCUCUCAGAGGGUUGAAUCCCUCCCCAGAAAAGAGUAGUUGAGUUUUCAUUUACAAAGGACAAAAAGGUCUUUACUGUGAUUUUGCUUUGGAAACUUCAGAUAAAUCUCCCUAGCCUUCCAGGUGCCACACGGAGCUGGGAGGAGGGUCGUUGACUUCUGUAACAGUACAACACCCUAGACACAGGAUGGUGGUGAUAUGCAGCAACAAAAGAAUGCUGGCUCUUAAUCAAAAAGGGAAAAAUUAUCAAAUUGACCUACUAGGCAUUCAUCAAGCACCUACUGAUAAUUUCACCUGCCAGAGAUGGCAAAUUUCCACUCUUUCAGGGUUCUGGGUUGAAUGUCAAGACUGCUUGUCUACUUAAUAGGAAAAUGAACUGCGGCAUUCUUUGAGCUGCUAAGCAAAGAUAUGGGUCCAAUCAACCACCACGUUAAACAUUUCAAGAAUCACAGCUUCUAUAAGGAAGUAGAGGUAAUGAUUAUCCAACAUGCUUUGUGAGAACAGCCCAACCCGUGGAAAGUUACCAUAAUGCAACUGAAAGAAUGGGAAACAAUUUUGCCCUAAAAUCUUGGAAAAUGUGAUUCCACUUGACCCAGAAAGAUGUCCAAAAUUUCUUUCCGUUCACUAAUUUUUUCUUCUGAUGUGUCCAAUAUGCAGUCAAAUACAACUAUUGAGUUAUUAUAUUUUUCAUUCUUGUAUUUCUUUUAUUUUGGGAGUUCCUUUCUUUUUUCCAAAUGUGCAUAUCACUUUGGAUGGUGCCGUAUUCCAUGCACAUAUUUUCAUGUUUGACAUUUUUUAAAGACAAGUUUGGGUCCGAUAAUUCCAUUACCUGAAAUCUGUAUGGGUCUGUUUCUAUGGUGAUUUUUUAUGGUUCCUAUUUAUGUUGAGGUUGUCUUGUUUUCUUGUAUGCCUGGUAAUCCUUGACUGUUCGGUGGUCACUGGUCUUAUAUAAUUAUUCGUGAGUGUUCUCUGAGGCCUAGUAGAUGUGCCUCCUCCUGAGAUGAGCUAUUAGUCAAAACACCUCAGAACAAGUUCAAGUUUUGAGAGCCACUUGGUCACAAUCCAGACUCCAUAGAAUGAGAUACACAUUUGUAAGAUGUCUGGCAAGGGCCAGACCACAAAUACCCAAGAAUAGAUGCUUUUCCUCUUUUUUUCCUUUUUUUCUCUCCUUUUGUUUAUCACCAAAACAGGCUUUUGUGGUAUUUCCAGAGGUUCUGGGGAGAGGGGCAGGAUGAGACCUGGUUGCUCUUCACAUUGAGAGUA